rnacentral:sRNA from 1 species
AUAUACCGAAUCGAGACUGAUCCUUCUAGGAUCUCUUCUCGAACCAGAAUGGCGAAUUUUCGUCAUUGUUUAUUCGCCAUCAUCCUGAUUUUAGGUAAAGCAACGUCAAUCCCAUCAAAAUCCGAAACACCGAAAGAACAUAAACACUCUCACGCUAAUCACACACAUGCACACGAACAUGAUGCAAGUCACGAACUCGACGACAUAGAAGAUGAAGGUUGGGAAUUCGAGAAUACCAGUAUAGUGGAUACUAGAAGAAUUUUGUACAGCAAACGAGUUUCUGUCGGAAAACGACCGUACAUGGUGUACCUUCAACUGACAAAAGAAUCAGCUAAAGCCCACAAAUAUCGAGGCUGGCUGUGCGGAGGAGUGAUCGUGGACCCUUACUACGUCCUCACGUCAGCAGCGUGCGUCGAAGAUGCCGACAAAUUCUACAUCGUCUCUGGAACUACUAAAUUCGUUGAUAGCUUUGAUUAUAAAGACGAUGAAUGCGUUUGCAAGCACCGCCGUCGAGUUGUUUGGAAGUGCAUUCCUAAGAACUACAAAUUCGACUUCCAAGACAGCAUUAAAUGGUCAUCUAACGACAUAGCCAUUGUGAAGGUAGACAAAGCGUUCAAACUCGGAGUUCAAGAAAAAGGAUGCCAGUUUGCUGCGGAUUUGGUCUGCUAUAACAAUGUUAGCCGAGAGUUGGAGAAGCCUGGGACCAGAGGAUGGAUUGCCGGAUGGGGAAGCGGUAACACGUUUAGAGAGGGAGUAUAUCGUCGCCAAAAAGAGCCGCACAUUCCACAAAAUGCUAAGUGUCUACAAGAAGCUAAAGUAUGCGUUAUGGACAAUGAACAAUGUGCUAAGAAAUGGGCCCAACGGUUCAGGAAUAUUAUCACGCAAUACAUGAUCUGCACCAAAGACGUGAUGAAGAGGCUCAGUGAAAUUUGUGAUAAAAGAUACGCAAACUGCACAGACGUGGAAAGUAGACGACAUCUAUCAGAUACAGCGUCAGAGUCUUCGAGAAUAUUCAACGUGGACUUAGGCAGGCAUCUAAAGGAUCCAGACGAUUAUACAGCAAGAAGAUCCUCUAUGCAGGGAGGAUUUUGUGAGAAUGAUCACGGUGGCCCAUUAAUAGUGAAGUACCAAGGCAAAGAGCGAGUGAUUGGUGUGAUAUCAGCUUGCAAGAUCGAUCCUAAAUCCCACAGCUGUCACGGACCCUUCCUUUACACUUCUGUAUUCAAGAACAGGCAGUUCAUAUCGUGUGCAAUUCAUAAGGAUGUUGAAGAAAACUGCAGAAGAGUUUUCCGUACCGGCAUCACCACGAAGAGUGGUCCGUGAAUUGGGAUAAUGUAGACGAUGACAGGGAUGGCCAUGAACGAGACAAAGCCGACAGUGCGGAUAAAUCUUCUGAUGACAGCGACGAAAAAGAUGUCCUGAGGGAACUGAAGAAAGAAAAAGAUAAGCCCAAGAAAGAAGUCAAAGAUAGUUCGGAGAGCUCCAGUGAUAGCGUAGAGGUUAAACCAAAAAAGAAAGAAAAAACCAAACCAGAAAAGAAAGAAGAAAAGAAGAACGCAGAGAAACCAAAACAUAAGAAGAAAUCCAAAUCAAGCAAGAAGCACAGCGGAAAGAAAGAAGCAGUGGAUAGUGGUAAAACUAAAACCAAUGGAAAUGAUUCUCUAAACCCGAGAGUUGAGAAUAAAGAAGUGUUUUACGAAUCUAGUAAAGACGAAAACGUUAAUGAACCAGACGAGGAGUAGGUUCUAAUAAAGCAAAGUUGAUUUUA